rnacentral:tRNA from 1 species
AUCUGUAAGCUGUAAAGAAUCUGCCUGCAAUGCAGGAGACCUGGGUUCGAUCCCCAG